UUGAACUGCCAACCUUCUGAUCGGCAAGUCCUAGGCUCUGUGGUUUAACCCACAGCGCCACCUGCACCCCCCAUUUAGCAUGUAAUGUCCUAAAAACAUAACUGUAGGAUAGUUUAGAUGGUGCUAUGGGCUCUUCGAGGAAGGUGGUUCUUAGGUUCACUUUUUUACGCAGACUCUUCAUUGGCUUGCUAUGCCUGUUCUAGCACGACACCAUAAGAACCUCCUCAAUGAAAUAAACUGGGUUAUGUGCACACCCUUGUACGUCCAGGUUCUAGGUAGUUCUGGCUGGUGCUCGUGGAGACUGGUAGGGCGGAAGGGAAGGAGACCACCAGCAGGACAGUGACAUUGGUGGGGCAGUGCCCUGUACCCCCUAAUGGACCGGCUCCAUUGGUUGGAGGAUCCUAUGCCCAACACUGCCUGGGCCCAGGGUGUAGUGCCCCCCCCCCCAUUUCUUCAAAGCUCUCUCUGGCAGCCCAUGGGUAUUUUAGCCAUCAAAUUGAAAUGCUGUUCUAAGAAUAACAUCAGUAACCUUUCAGAGAUCUUGAGCCUUUCCUCCUAUUCGAAUCUUUCAUUGUCCCUGGAGAGCUCUGGUUUCAAACUCGGGCCGCCGCUGGUACCUGAUACUUUUCCUCCUUCCGAGAAGAGAAGGAGGGUUUCCACUACCGUCAGCACAUUGGGCAGGCUUUCGCAAACAUAACACCUCCUGGUAUUUUCCAGCGCUUGGGAAGUGCUGAAAUUGCAACCAUCUACCCAAGGGAGGCUGUUUCUCUUUUCAGCUCCCCAGACCGAAAUGGAUUUGCAUUUCCCUCAGCAGGUGUGACCAAAAGUGACUUGGCUGUCAUGCAUGUGCGUAUAUCAACCUGCAAAGGAGAAUCCAGUGUGUAAAAAAAGAGAACCUUUAAAGGCAUCUCUCUGUUCUGAUGUUCAAGGUGUUCGUCAUUCCUUAUGGUGCCACUGUGCCACUGCCCAUGCCCUAGAGGAGGAUGUCCUGGUAUGCUUGAGGAAUUCUUGAGAUUUGCAGAAGUACAAAUCAACAUUUUUUUGUGGGAGGUUCCCUAAAGAGGGGCACCCCCUGCUAAACGAAAACAAAAAACCAGGUCAACAAGGUUUAAUCAUAAUAGGCCUAGAAUGCUGACUGACUUGGAAACGGGCAAGUAAAUUGAUUGGAAAUGACAAAUGGAGUAUUGUGAGACGGCAUUGCUAGUUAGUUGGAACUGAACAAGAGCGCCUGACAAUGCAACGUUUUCUUGCAGCUCCCUCCCUUUCUGGUAUUUCAGCCUGGAGUCCAAACUGCAGAGUUCCAUGAUUGCAUCUCUUUCCAUCUCAUGCUACAGAAGCAGCUGCCAGUUCCAGCUAGAAGUUGGUUGGGAGACUUCUUAAGCUGUCCUGUAGCCAGUUUCCUAGUCCAGUAUUGCUUACUCUGACUGGCAGCAGUUCUGUGGGGUUGAAGCUGAGAGAGAUCUUUCUUAUAAUCUGCUACAUGUUCCUUUCAACUGGAGAUUGUGGGUUGCAUGCAGUUGCUCUACCACUUGGCUAUUAAUCCCUCCUCUUUUUAUUUCUCUCAGAAACAUAACAAGCUGCUGUUACAGAGUCAAGUCCAUCUAGCUCUCUAUUGCCUAUACCUUGUGUAGGGGAACCUUUGGCCUUCCAGAUGUUGCUUCACUACAAUUCCCAUCAUUCCUGGCCAUUGGCCAUGCUUGCUGAGGGUAAUGGGAGUUGUAAUUCAGCAGUAUCUGAAGGGCCAAAGGUUCCCCAAACCUGGCCUAUAACUGACCAAGCAAUACCUCCCCACCCCCAGGGCUUCAGAGAUGAGUGUUUCCCAAUGCUACCUGGAGAUAUGCAGGAUUGAACCUGGGGUUUUCUGUAUGCAAAGCAGAUGCAAAUUUAGAGUUGCCAGAUGGUUGUUUGCGGCUGGUUGAUAGCAAGAUCAAGUAGAUGGUUGCAUCUGUGCUGUGGCCAUCAUAGAACAAGUGGCUCAGUUUGGAAUUUUAAUACCUUGGACAGGACUCUGUUGAGGAGGGAGUUGGUGUGCACAGUGUCCUGAUUUCAAUUCCCACCAUCUCCACUUUUGUUUUGUUUUUAACUCUGGUGGGGAGCUGCUGUUACCAGUUAGUGUAAACUAGGGAUGUAUCAACUUACGUUAUCUAGAUGGUGUUGGACUCUAGGCCCUGUCGGCCUGACCUGUAGUCAGAGAUGACUGUGAAUAAGAUCUAUAUACCACAUAAUGCUAAAAUAGGCUUCUGAGCAGUUUCCAAAGAAGAAACACUGGGUACACAGACUAUAAAAUAUAAAUGCCUGGAAUUAAAAUCUACAAUAAAACAAUUCAGGAAUUAAAACAGGAGGACAAAGAGACUGUGUGAACAGGUGUGUCUUUCAAAAGCAGGUGGAAUGCCAAUACAGAUAGACCUUAUAGUGCAGCAACAAUGGUGCAAGACUAUGUAAGAUAUCUUCAUAGGUGGAGACAUUUAGCAUUUCUAAACAUUAAGUGAUAUUGAUGGAAUCAGGCUUCAGUUUGUCUCUCCCUCAUAGCCAAUCUUUCUGCUGGCAUACUGCACAAGUUGUCCCAGGAAGAUGGGACAUCCCGUUUCCUCACAUGAGGGCACGGCGGCCAUUUUGGGUGUUGAGAUCUUGCCCGAAAAAAGCACUCCCUCCCCCCCCCCAAAAAAAACAGGUGGGGGGCCCUGCAAUCUUGUGUGGGCCAUGUGACUCGCACAGGAACACGCUUCAGGCGCUCAGACUGCAACCUACCUUCAUGGACCCUGCCUCAAUUGCCAAUCAAUAGUUGUCACAGGAACAUGCCGUCAGCAUAGAAAUCCGAAAAACGACAGCCAGGUGUGGGUGAAUGGAACCAGCUGCAGCCACUGACACAUCACCCAAAUAGAGGUCAUCCACUAACAGUGAGCACCUGGACAGCAGACCAAAGAGAACACAUGGGGGACCCAGUCACAAUCUUCCCUGCUGUGAUUUUCUGCUGCUCUAGGUUCCACGCCUCGCUCCUGGUUCGGCUAGUUGGAGAUGUGGCCGCUCAUUAGGGCUUUUAAGAAGGAUCGAGAUGCGAGCGUUUUCCAAAAGCACCGGAGAAGCACCAUCCCCUCCCCAAAUGUGCUGCCGCAUAUCCAGGUGCUGACUCGAGAGGCUGAACAGGGUUCCCUUGUUGACGAGAAGCCGGGCCUGUGCUGUAAUUGGAUCCUGGAGGACGAGGAGAGUGUGCAGAACAUCUCAUGCUGUUUGGGAGCAUGGCCAGGGUGUGUAUGUGUGGGGAGAGACACGCUCCCUUGAACAAAAACAAAGCUGAAACAAAGGUGUUACAGGCUGCUGCUGGAAUAGCCUCAAAAUAUACACUAUACUUUUAAAGGAUAUUUCUGAGGAGAGUUGGGAAAGGUUCAGAAAAGGGCAACAACAAUUAUCAAGGUGGUGAAAUACUCCCCUAUGAGGAAAGGUUGCAACAUUUGUGAUUUUUUUUAGUUUAAAAGCAAUAAAGAAAGAA